UGUAUCGAACAACAGCCUGCGCACCGUACUCUGUUACGCGUUAAUUAAACUUUCAUGAAUAUAAAAUUGCGAUUGUUAAGUGAGGCCGGUGUCGAACAAUUCCUCGCCGCGAUAAUGAUUAUCUUUAAUGUGCGUUCAAGUGGAAAUCGUUUUUCGCGUGACAGCUGAAAAUUUAGAGAAACGCCCGCUGUGGCAUGGCGUGUUGGGAAAUAUUUUAGGUGAAAGUUCGUUACCAACAAAAAAGCAGCAAGAAGUCGCUCUAGAAUAAAUUCUCCGUUGAUAUCUCGACGUAUUUCUUUUUUUAUCGUCGUCCUACCGUCUCUCUCACUAAAAAGUUGGGUCCGUUGUGCGCGAGUGAAGGCAGAUAGAGACGCUAACAUCUACAUAUUUGUUUCACGUUAUGAAACUUCUAAAUUAACGCUACCUCUUAUACUGGACGAUUUUUCCACGAUUCUACUUUAUCGAUAACCUCGGAGAGUGUAGUGCUGAAUUAAGAGAGUAAUAUUACCAACUUGUACUUCUAAUUACGAGGAACCCAAAACACGGAGCAGCCGCACUUACGAUAUAAUUACUGUACAUUUCUCUGCAUCUGCUGGUGGCGCCAUGCCUCUAAUAUUCUACAUGGAAUACGACACAGCCGGUACAAUGCAACUCAUAUCAAGACUAAAACAAGUAGACUUGGCUACUUGAGCAUGGAAAAUUGUCUCUAGCACGAAUGAAAUGAAAAUAUUUGAAAGGUUAACGCGAGAACGAAAUUAC